rnacentral:rRNA from 1 species
AGCGAACGCUGGCGGCAGGCCUAACACAUGCAAGUCGAACGAACCUUUCGGGGUUAGUGGCGGACGGGUGUGUAACACGUGGGAACGUGCCUUUAGGUUCGGAAUAACUCAGGGAAACUUGUGCUAAUACCGAAUGUGCCCUUCGGGGGAAAGAUUAAUCGCCUUUAGAGCGGCCCGCGUCUGAUUAGCUAGUUGGUUGAGGUAAUGGCUCACCAAGGCGACGAUCAGUAGCUGGUCUGAGAGGAUGAUCAGCCACAUUGGGACUGAGACACGGCCCAAACUCCUACGGGAGGCAGCAGUGGGGAAUCUUGCGCAAUGGGCGAAAGCCUGACGCAGCCAUGCCGCGUGAAUGAUGAAGGUCUUAGGAUUGUAAAAUUCUUUCACCGGGGACGAUAAUCACGGUACCCGGAGAAGAAGCCCCGGCUAACUUCGUG